rnacentral:rRNA from 1 species
GCUCCACUCUCUCUCAGCUCUGCUGAAGAGAGGAUAAGGAGCUGAGCUCCCUCGUCGCGGCGAGAGGGAAACCCAAAUCAAUCAAACCGCGCCCUCCAAGCACGCGCAGCAGCAGCAGCAGAAGCAAUGGCUGCCCUCGCCGCCCUCUUCGCCUCCCCGGCCCUCCCCUUCCCCUCCACCUCCGCCUCCUCCUCACCGUCAUGCUCCUGCCGCUUCCGCCCCGCCGUCGCCUGCGCGCCGCGCCACCCGCCCGCCUCCCGCCGCGUCACGCGCCGCUUCGACGAGGUGGAGGAGGCGUCGAAGAAGCGGCGGGGCGGUGGCAUUGGCGGCGGAGGCGGCGGUGGCGGCGGAGGGGGCUCUCUGGCGUCGUCAACGCGCAAGGAUAAGGGGCUUUCCGUCGACUUCAAGGAGUCGCAGGUUGCUGAUUUCGAGGAUCUUGAAGAGGACAAAUUCCUUAAUGCUGUUGUUAAGGUCUACUGCACUCAUAUUAGACCUGAUUAUGGGCUUCCUUGGCAGAAGCAAAGGCAACAUUCAAGCACUGGGAGUGCCUUUAUGAUUGGUGAUAACAAACUAUUGACAAAUGCACAUUGCGUUGAACAUGACACCCAGAUUAAAGUAAAGCGAAGAGGAGAUGACAAAAAGUACGUCGCCAAGGUCUUAGCUAGAGGCACAGAAUGUGAUCUUGCGAUGCUCUCUGUCGAGAAUGAAGAGUUCUGGCGAGGUACAGAACCACUUCAACUUGGUCGUUUGCCAUGUCUUCAGGAUUCAGUAACUGUUGUCGGGUAUCCUCUUGGUGGAGACACUAUAUCUGUGACAAAAGGCGUUGUAUCACGCAUUGAGGUCACACCAUAUGCGCAUGGAACAUCAGAUCUUCUUGGGGUUCAAAUUGAUGCAGCAAUAAACGCAGGAAACAGCGGUGGACCGGCUUUUAAUGAGCAAGGGGAAUGCAUUGGAGUAGCAUUUCAGGUGUUCAGGUCAGAUGAAGCUGAAAAUAUUGGAUAUGUUAUUCCAACCACAGUUGUAUCCCAUUUCUUGAAUGACUAUCGGAAAAAUGGAAAAUACACAGGAUUUCCUUGCCUGGGCGUCCUACUUCAGAAAUUGGAAAACCCAGCACUGCGUGAAAGCUUGAAGGUGCCUUCAAGUGAGGGUGUUCUUGUCCGCCGGGUUGAGCCUACAGCUCCAGCCAGCAGUGUUCUGCGAAAGGGAGAUGUGAUAACAAGUUUCGAUGGUGUUUCGGUAGGAUGUGAAGGAACAGUACCAUUUCGGUCCACUGAGCGAAUUGCUUUCCGCUACCUCACAAGUCAAAAGUAUGCAGGUGAUGUUGCCCAACUAGGUAUCAUUCGGGGAGGCAACAUCAUGAAAGUGCAAACCAUUUUGCAUCCAAGAAAACAUUUGGUGCCAUUCAAUGUUGAUGGGGGUCAACCUUCUUACCUGAUAGUUGCCGGCCUUGUCUUCACGCCUUUAACAGAACCAUUUAUAGAGGAAGAGUGUGAAGAUACUUUAGGGUUAAAAUUGUUGGCGAAGGCACGAUACUCUCUAUCAACCUUCGAAGGGGAGCAAAUUGUAAUUGUAUCUCAGGUACUGGCGAACGAUGUCAACAUCGGGUAUGAGCACAUGGGCAAUCAACAAGUCAUAAAACUAAAUGGAACUAUGAUAAAGAACAUCCACCACCUUGCUCAUCUAGUGGACACCUGUCAAGACAAGUUCUUGACAUUUGAAUUCGAAGAUGACUUCCUCGUUGUUUUGGAUCGGGAAGAAGCAGCGGCCGCGUCAUCAGAUAUCCAAAAGGAGCAUGCCAUCCCCUCUGUAAGGUCAUUGGAUUUAUCUGAGCCCUACGUCGACACAAACCAUGAUGUCCAAAACCAAGGCGAGGAUUUCGGCGACAGUCCCGUGACAAACUUUGAACUGGGUGUUGAUUGUCUGCUGUGGGCGUGAGAAACUGCUAUCGCUCCGUCCUAGAAACCAAGAGCGCCCCGGUGAAACCAAGCAUGGGGGGUUUCAGUCGAAAAAUGGUAAUAACGCCUGUGGGUUUUUUCCAUCUACCCGGUGGCAAAUACACUUGACAGUGGCAAAAACCGAGCCAUGUUGUAUUUUGUUGUAUCUCAAUGCUGGAAGCUUUAGCUUAGGUGUCAUUUAGAGCAUGUUGUAUGUUAAAAUCACAGAAUGUUCCAUUCAUCAACAUUUUUCGGGGGAUUGUGGCCCUUGGCCGCCCUUUGUACAACUAGGUAACAAACGAUUCUUUAAAUUCUCAGAAGUGCAAUAAAUCAGAAAUUUUGUUGGAUUA